rnacentral:lncRNA from 1 species
GCACAGUCCAGACGCCAGGGGGAGACGCCUCGCCGACCCAGACCGUGGGGUCAGGGCCCGGGAGGCAAGAACGCCCCCCACCCAGCAGGGCACCCCAGGCAACCCUCACUCCGUGCUGAGGCCUCGGCUAGGGUGCAAAGGUGUCCGGGAAUGGAAGGGACACGAGGGUGUGGAUGCCUCGCACUCUACUCACGCCUGGUGCCUUCUGAGAGGCUGGGCGUGGGGCAGAGGGUAGGGGACAAGGGGGUGACAUUCCUUAAGGUCCUCCCCCCAACAAAAGCAGGGCCUGCAGUUCCAGCUUGAUUCGUUGAUUGUUGGGUGGAACCGCCUCACAUCAAAGGCAUCGUGGCUCCAAACACUGUCCCCUUUACUUUUCUAAGCCCCCGCUUCAAAACCAGCUGUGGGUGGGCCGGUGAGGGCGUCUGCAGUACCCAGGCUUUCCGCGGGGCGGCGCGGUUGGAUAAGAAAAGGCUUCCCGGCUGGGGCGCGCAGCGCAGCUCAGACACCUGCGGGAUUCGAGAUGUCUCCGCGAGGUGUCCUCUACACCAGGGCUGCAUUCCCUAAAUAAUGGAAACUCCCUGCCCUUGCACUUGGUGCCUGGAGUGCGAUGAAGAGGCUGAAGGUAUCCAGCCCGUCCCUUCUCCCCUCCCUCCUCAGGCUGCCGAUGUGACAUGCGUGUAACUGUCACCCCACACAGGACGUGGAACACUUCCACCACCCCAAAAUGUUCCCUUCUAAUGGAAUAACGUGUUCUGUCCUAACAAAAGAAUAGCUCAAUACUUAAAGGUAUCAAUUCAAAGCUGCAGAUGAAAAAUCUCAUCCGCCCUUUGUUGCUUGUUCUCGCCUGUGGUAUUUUUACCUUUCUUCAUAAAAUGAUACAAAGAAAGCCCCAGGUCGCUGACCCCAGCCUCUCUCGCACCUGAAGACGAUGACCAUCACCGCUGCCACGUACUGAGCACCUUCUAGGCCAGGCUCCUUCUCCUCGUCGUCUAAUCAGAUCAUCAUAGCCAAUCUGUCCUUCUGCAGAGGAGCCUGUUUCAGAGAAGUUAAGCACCCGAUCUUAUAAUCAAGCCAGUGUUCUGACAAGGAAAAGCAUUCUGGAAGUGGAGGUGGGAUCUACCAGGGCGUCCUCUCCUAUUCCAGAAGAGUGGGCAGGGGUGGGGGAGGACAAAGAUGCCCUCCCACUCUGCAGAAGGCAGUUGGGUGACUUCUCCACGGGGCAGGGUUCUGCCAGUUCUCCUCUGGCAGCCAGUGCCCAGGUCCCAUCCUGGUUGGUGGGGGCUGGGCCAACCCCUUGGCAUCCUCGGGGAAGCCUGUAUGUACAGCAGCACCUCCACUGGGUGCCAAGUGGCCAUCCUGGCCAGCGAGUGUCCCCCGAGAACUGAGGGGGAGUAGGCUGAGGGUGCACCUGAGGGGCACACUCCGGAGCCUGUUCUCACUCCUGGGCCUGGGCCUGGGCCUUCCAUGGUUUCGAUGACAUGAGCAACUCCCCUCUCCGCCCAGGAUGAUAAAGUGUACCAAAAAAAUAGAUUUUUCAGUAGCCAAUUGAUCUUACUGCUUUAAUUAAAUGAUUACUUUUUUGCCUAAUGUGGGGAAAAGGUAAAAUAAGUUAACUUGUUCUUCUGUGCAUAGUGUUGGGCUCCCUAAUCUGAGAGAUUUGCAACUUUUUGUUUUGUUUUGUUUCAUUUUUUUUCUGAGACAGGAUCUCGCCCUGACACCCAGGAUGUAGUUCAUUGAUGCUAUCAUAGCUCAUUGCAGCCUUGAACUCCUGGGCUCAAAAGAGCCUCCUGUCUCAGCCUUCCCAAGAGCUGGGACCACAGGCAGGCACCACCGUGCCCAGCUAUUUUUUAUUUUUGUGUAGAGAUGUGGUCUCACUGUGUUUCCAAGGUUGGUCUCAAACUCCUGGCCUCAAGCUGUCCUCCCACCUUGGCCUCCCAAAGCACUGGGAUUACAAAUGUGAGCCACUGUGUCUAACCACAAGAAUUAUUAAAAGGAAUUUUACUUAAGUAUCUACUUCCAGAUCUUUCCAUGUUUCUUUACUAGCUACAAAAUAAAAGAAUUACCCCAUCAGCCUCUGUAGGGUAAGAUGAAUUGUGUGGAAUGGGUAUGAAAUGAAGGAUAGUUAGAUGUAGAAGGUAAAACAAAAGGAAUCAGCUUUUUGUGUCUGUGACAGAGGAUCUGAUACUUGAUGGUCUGACCACAAGGCAUCGCUCAGAAAUCAGCAGUCCUUUUCACCCAGUGAACAGCCAGCUGCUUUGAGCAGAGAGAGCUGUGGUUGGAACUCCUGCUCUGUGACUCAGGGGAGGAGGCAGAGCUUGCCGCAGAAUGCAGCCACUGCCCACAGCCCCUGUGCACUCCCUUUUCCCUUGUGCUGGCUUCCCGCUGCCAGCAUCUGCAAGUCUCUGCCUGGAGGUGAGCAGGAGGGUGCUGGGCCCGUUAGACAAGUGGCUAGGGCUGGGGAGUUCAUGGUCUUCACGCAGUUUCAGGUGGAGGUUGCAGGAUAUAUGGCCCAGCUUCCUGGCCCCAGGUGGAACAACCCUGAGACAUGUUCGCCAUUUCCCACAGGCCCCCAGUGGGACUGAGUCCUAGUUGUCUUCAGUGGCAAUCUUCUCAUUACCACCUCUCGUGUUGAUUUUUUUUCCCUUCACUUUCUCAUUUUUCCAUUUCCUUGUUGGUCCCAAUUAACUACUUGCACAUGAAUCUUUGUCUCAGGGUCUGCAUCUGGGGGACCCCAAAGACAGAGACACUUGAGCUCUUACUCUGCCUUUAUCUUAGACCUAGCAUUGGUCUCCAGAGGUCACUCAUGACUUAAGGGCCUAUCUUAAUGGCCUCUUUCCCCAUGUGUUCCUUGGGAAUGUCCAUUGUUGAUGCAUCUUUCUGUACUAAGUAGAGUUUUGGGCUGCAAGGAGGCAGUUAGCACAGGGAACUAUGUAGUGAGGGACAUGGAGACUAAACAGCAGCUGGCCCAUCUCUCUGGUUUCUCAUGGCCAAGCCUGGGACACACAGCUGCCCUCGUGCAGGUCCAGAACUAUGGCACUUGUUCCCUCAGGACCCAUCCUCAAAGCCAGUGACUUGGUCUUUUCCUAUGACAAAGGAGCUCCCAGAAUGUGGCAGUCCCCCUUCCUAGAGGGAGAAUCUGACUGGGUCAGGGAGGCACCUCCGGUUUGCAGAGCCCCCAUUGGUCAGGUUCAGUUUCCAAAACACCUGAGGGGCAAGUGGCUUCUCGAAGUCCAGCCCACAUGGUUACUUUUGACUUGGACACUCAAGGCACAGGGACACAUGACACAGGCACAGGGUGUGACAACUGCAUGCAGAAAGAGCCACUCUCAUUCCUCAGAAGAGGCUGUGGAGAUGAGUGGCUGAGCCAUGUGCCCCAAAAUUCAUGUUGAAGUCCUAACCCCCAGUAUCUUAAAAUGUGACCGUAUUUAGAGAUAGAACCUUUAAAGAGCUAACUGGGUUAAAAUGAAUUCAUUAGGGUAGGCCGUACUUCAGUAUGACUGCUGUCUUUAGCAGAAGAAGAAAUCAGGGUACAGACACGCAGAGGGGAGGGCAUGUGAGGACAUGGGAAGGAAAUGCCACUUGCAAGCCAAUGAGAGAGGCCUCAGAAGAAACCAGCCCUCCUGACACCUUGAUCCUAGACUUCCAGCCUCCAGAACUGUAAGAAAAUACAUUUCUGUUGUUUAAGCCACAUGGUCUUAGAGUUCUAUCUUGAAUUUCUCUCUGCUUCAGACUUUUCUGUUUUGUUUUUUAGCCUAAAUCCUAUUGAAAAGAGCAGAGAAGAUAGAGUGCAGGCCCCUAGAGACAGGAUGGAACGAAACACGCAGUGUGUGUCUGUGUCCUGCUCAGCAUACGCUCUUGGUCCCCACUGGGCCAUCUCGCUGCUGACUGGCAUCCCGAAGAACAGGCAGAUUGCACAGGGGCAGCUCUUUCCUCCAAAGCUGCAAUGUGAUGCAUGAAGUCCUCAGAUUUGGGAACUCAUACAGGCACUUGAGCUCAAACAUACAGUUCUGAUCUAAGACAUCACAGGUAAGAAUAUCCAAAAAGGUGAGCUUUCCCCCUGGAAACCAUGACUUCCUCAGAAACAAGGAGAAAUGUUUCAGCUGCCCAGGUUGCAGUUCCGAGUAUGGAGGCUUCCAUGUUUCAUGUCAGGGUCAUGGUGGAGCUGUUUCAGCUGCAGGUGGUAUUCCACCAUUUGGUCCUCCCUGAUGUCUCCUGGCACCUUUCCUUCUUCAGUCUCACCACUCUGAAGAAGCGUGCUUGUAAGCGCCGCGGGACGAUCCAGGACGUCCAGGAUUGUGGACGAUCCUGUUCUUCCCAUCUGUGAGGUAAGGCAGAUUAGGAAUGUCCACAUCUAGCUUGAAUUUCACAUCCAGCCAUUGGCUGCCACCAUGGCCAAGGGCUCCUGCAGAUGGAUCACCGUUUCCCUCCCAGGAGCAGGCAGGUGUCCAGUAUCAGCCCCAGAACAUCCCGGUCACCCAUCUCCAUAGGGCUUGGAUGACAUGAUGAUGCUCUCUGUGCCUCUGAGGAUGGCACCUUGGGUCUUUGUACGCUAAAUCCCACCUUGUCCUCUCCUCUAUUUGAAACAGCCAUUUCCCAAAUCCCAAUCUGAUGAAAUCCUGUUCCUCCUUCCCUCAUGUUUCUCUAGGCCUCCUGUGGACUCCCAGAAUGUAAAGUCAGCAUUCCCUUGAGCCUUUUGGGGACUUAAAAGCACAUGGCCCAAGGUCCACCUAACUCCAGGUGUAUCCUGUAGAACCAGUAUUCUAAUCCUAAUUUUAAAGAUCUUACAGGACCACAGGGUGUGCGUAAAAAGCCUGCUGCAAAUCAGAGUGCUUCAAUUGAGUAUUAAUGAGAUGGAGGAAAGAGGCUGUGAGUGCAGACAAUGAGUCCCUGAGUAAAUAGACUCCAGAGCCAAAGGUGUUCUCCACACCAAAAGAAUGACUGUACCCAGGGAAGGAGCUCACACUCACCUGGACAAACCCUGAGGGGACAGCCAUGUCCCAGUGUGGCUAGGAGGGUCUGGAGCUGGGCACGUCCCCCAUGUCUGCUUGAUUCCCCUCCGGCCGAGUUCUACUCAGAUAAGGAAACUGACAAAGCCAGGUGGCCUGUGGCUGAGGAGCGAGACGGUCAGCGAGGUCUCCCUGCUGCACUCCCGUGCACUUCCACAGUGAAACCCUGCUGAGAGACACAGGAAAUGUUGAACAUAGUAUCUUUAAAAUUAAGACCAUGACUGCCCUAAACAUUUACAAAGCACAAACCAUGAGAAAAAAGCCUGUACCAGAAAUCAGAAGAUGGCUUUUGUCCAUGUGCAACCUUGGACAAGUUAAUUACUUAUCGCUGCUCUCUGAGCCUGUUUCCCCACUGGUUACCGAAAAAAUAGAAAAGGAUAUGCCUGCCCUUCCUAAUUCACAGGGCAUCGCAGGGAGGUAGGUAGUUAAUAUGCUGAACCACUUCAAAACGGUGGAGCUGAACUCACAGCAGGAACCCUGUCACACCUUUCCAUGACAAGGAUAUCGGUGGGGUGAGGGAGGUGGGGAGAGGCAUGAGGAUGGGAGACAAAGGAGUGGGGUGGGGGGCGGGGGAAGGAGGAAGCCAGAAGGACAGGCCCAGGCUAGGCUCUGAAGUCAGCAGGUGAGCGAGGUAGAGAACUAGCAGCACACUGUCCAUGGAUAUUUGCGGUGAUGGAAAGGUACUGUAUCCAUGUUCUCCAAUAUGGCAGCCACUAGCCACAUGUGGCUAUCAAGCACUGGAAAUGUAGCUAGUGUGAUCGAGGAACUGAUCUUUAAUUUUUCUUUAGUUGUUAUUAAUUUCCGUUUAAAUAGCCACAUGUGGCCAGUGGCUUAUGUAGCAAAGAUCUAGAUCAUUUGUUUGAAGCAGUAAAAAGAGAAAUGUGAAUCCCCUCUUCUUACCUCCUAUAACAUGCUAAUUAACAUCACUGCAAUUAACUACCAUUCACAGCUCUUCAGCUGCUCUGUGGAACCUCAGCCCACUCUGAAAUGAACAGCCGCAGUGGCAGGGGUUACAGAAUGGGCUGGGAGUGGCAAUGUAGAUUCAUCUCUUCACACACUCUAUGCCCUCAAUCAAAAAUGCCUCAGGCUGUGUAAAAUUCCACAAAUAAUA